UUGGUAUAAAUCAUUGUGUAUCUACAUUUUGAAAAUAGAACCCACACAAAAUGAUGGGACACACAAUAAUUUAAUCCAA
rnacentral:pre_miRNA from 1 species